UACGGAGGGGGCGAGCGUUGUCCGAAGUUACUGGGCGUAAAGCGCGCGUAGGUGGGAGCAUAAGUCCGCUGUGAAAGCCCGAGGCUCAACCUCGGAGGGUCGGUGGAUACUGUGCUUCUUGAAGGUGCUAGGGGAAGAUGGAAUUACCAGUGUAGCGGUGAAAUGCGUAGAUAUUGGUAGGAACACCAGUGGCGAAGGCGGUCUUCUGGGGCACUCUUGACGCUGAGGCGCGAAAGCUGGGGGAGCGAACGGG
rnacentral:rRNA from 1 species